rnacentral:rRNA from 1 species
GAUGAACGCUGGCGGCGUGCUUAAUACAUGCAAGUCGAGCGGACAGACGAGGAUCUUGCUCCUCUGACGUUAGCGGCGGACGGGUGAGUCACACGUGGAUAACCUACCUAUAUGACUGGGAUAACUUCGAGAAACCGGAGCUAAUACCGGAUAAUCUCUUGAACCGCAUGGUUCAAUAGAGAAUGACGGUUUUGCUGUCACUUCUCGAUGGAUCCGCGCCGCAUUAGGUAGUUGGUAAGGUAACGGCUUACCAAGGCAACGAUGCGUAGCCGACCUGAGAGGGUGAUCGGCCACACUGGAACUGAGACACGGUCCAGAGUCCUACGGGAGGCAGCAGUAGGGAAUCGUCCGCAAUGGGCGAAAGCUUGACGGAGCAACGCCGCGUGAGUGAUGAAGGUCUUCGGAUCGUAAAACUCUGUUAUUAGGGAAGAACAAAUGUGUAAGUAACGAUGCACGUCGUGACGGUACCUAAUCAGAAAGCCACGGCUAACUACGUG